rnacentral:lncRNA from 1 species
CAAUAGCUAUGCGUUAAAAGACAUAUUACCUCAAUACCAAACAUGACUUAAUUUACACAUAUCACCAAAUAGUCAUUGAGGCCGCUGGAAGGAGCUUAGCUAUUGUUUUGCAUUGGAAAAACCCUUUAAAUCGGCAGAACUCGUAACUUUUUCAUAAAUAAUAGGAUUACCACUAUUAACACCAAAUAUAUUGAAUAAUUGACUCUUGGGGAGAGGCCCAAUUUCGUUUCCCUUAGUUUUUAUUGAUGCCCUUUGUGCUUCUCUUGUACUCACCUUUUACCUAUCUUCUUAUAAAUAAAAUCUCUCUCAAGGAUUUUCGCUGUAGAUUGAUGCCCAAAUAAACUAAUAAAUCUAAUUUAAAAAAUAAUUAUUUUAAUCAUCUUACCCUAGUCUGCUAUGAUCUUGGCGAUCCUCAAUUUUUUUUUUGAUUCCUUAAAUUUAAUAAAGAACUCCUUUUAAUAGAAACAUUUUACAUAUAUUCUUGGAGUUUUGAUUCCUGAAUCAGCUCUUCAUUCAAGUGUGCAUUGUCAAUAGUCUUCCUAGAUAUAUAUAAUUUCUACCGGCAAAGUCCUGGGAGCAGUCAAAUAGUGAAUUAGACCCCCCCCAAUUGCCCAAAAAGUAAGUGGCAAAAAAUGGAAGGGGCCAGGUUGCAAAUUAAAAGCAAUUUGCUAUUUUCGGUGGCUGUUUCGUUGUUGUUCUUGUUCUUUGUUAGUGUUAGAGGAGUACAAAUCUAAGGGGCCACCAGGCGAUGAGGGAGUUCAUGUGAUGCCUCAGCCUCAGUAACCAGCUUAAUUCAUCGAAAAAGGAAUGCCAUUAGUUUCACAGAAAUUUCUAGAUUCAACGUAUUCCAACUUUAACAUAAAGGAGAUAAAUAAGAUUACAUCAAGUUUUCUAAAUAAAUUCCUGUAAAAAAAAGGAAAAAAAAGUUUUCUAAAUAAAUUAAUGCCUCAGUAUUUCGUAGAGUAAUCCACGGUUCGGGAACUAAUUUCAUUUGUGAUGUAAUACCUACAAGAAAUAGCAGCUAAUUUUUUUUUUAUCAAAUAUAUUUAUACCCAAAAAAAAAAAUCUCCUCUAGCAGUGGGCACACAUAUGCAUAUCAAAGAAAAAUCAGCAGUGCCACCUCAAAUCUGAGAGGUAAUGCUGAACAACAAUUAAUAUCCCAAAAGAAUCGAAGCAUAUACGAUGGAUAAUCCCUUGUGUGGUAGAAGGCUGUUUCCAUAUAUCCUCGUACCAAUAUAUGCUUCACUUAGAAAUAAUUCAAUUGAAGACUUGACAAUAUUAAUCAGACGUUAAUGGUUCAGAAAUCAGAGUCGAGCUAGAUUUUAGAAUAUAUGUUAUUAUGAUUUAUGUGAUGAUGAUAGCAUAUACGCAGUAAGCAAAUAAAUAUAACUUAUGCAGUGGAAUCAAGAAAAUCAUAACCAGAUACAUAAUAUAUCAUUGCAGCCCAAAUUCAAGUAAUGUCAGUUUCGACAGUCCUCAAAGAGUUGACUGCCUUUAAUUGUCAAUUAUGUUAAUUCCCUUCCAUUUGUAAUUGUGCGUAGCCAGCUAGAAAGAAGUAAUAGUAGUAGGAAUAAUAGAGUGUAAUUUUCAGAUAGAGCAUCCACUCACGCUGUCCAAUAAUUAAUUUCUUGAAUUUAGAUGAUCAUCAGAAGGAACUGAGAAAUUCUGCAAAGACAUGAAAGGGCACAGCGAUCGGAUUGUUGCUUUCAUGGCUGUUUACAGCUGCAUAACGGAUCCAACAGUUGAUUAUCUCGAAGCAGAAUUUCGACAUGGGAUCUAUUCUUGUAAUAUGUAUGAUAUUUAUUCGUUUCUUGUAAUUACUGCAUGCUCUAAUCAGAAUGCUUAUCAUGUAGUGUUAAAUAAUAAACAAAAAUUCUCCAAAAUACUCACAAGGAUUGAGCCUUUCCAGCAACGGAUGUCCGAGGGCGUCAUGUAUGUAUACACUCAUAUCAUAUCUAAUUACAUAUUAAUUAGUCAAUUAAUUAAGUUCUUAAAUUUCCAUGCUCGUAUUUAUUAAGUGACUUAGGCUCCGUUUGGUACAGCUUAUUAAAUAGAGCUUAUAACAGUAGAGCUUAUAGCAGUAGAGCUUAUACCAAUAGAGCUUUUGGACAAAAAGUCAUUGGGUGUUUGGUUGUCAAUAAAAAAUGCACUUUUGAACCAUUAAACUGUGUGAUAUUUUUUAUAUUAUAUAUUUUUAGAAAAGCUUUAUAACCUCUACUCCCAAAAGCUCAAAUUUUGGGCUUUUGCUAGUAGAGAUAAAUUAGCUUAUUUAAGCUAAAAAAACUCUACUAAAAAAAUAACCAAACACUAUAAAAAAUUUUAAAAAGUACUUAUACGAUUAAAUAAGCCCUUAUGACUCUUAAAUAAGCCAUACCAAACAGGCACUUAGAAGAUUGCACGCUUGAAGGACAUCUACAAGUACAUAUUUGUCAUGUACCAUUCCUAUCGCAACUUCUAUUUUAAAUAAAAAGUGUUCUAUACAAAACAGUAAGUUUUUUGUAUAACUAUGUCACUUCUCCAGUUUCAUGGUUAUAUCAGCAGUCAGUUUAAUUGGGUUGUGUGUGUGUCUGUGUGUAUAUAUAUAUACUAAGCUUAAUUAUGAUUUUUUUCCCCCUUUGUUUUAUUAUAUUGUAUGGUAUACCUUCUGUUGGAUCAAAUUUUGGUAGGAUUAUCAAAUUUAAUUAAAAGUUAAUUAAAUAUAUAAAUGCAUAAAAAUAAAGUGGUUUGAAGUCCAAAUCCUUAUUUUCAAAGAGUCAUGUUUUAAAUACCAAAUAAUUCACUGAGGUUCAAGAGAUUACAAAUUAUUAAAACCUUACACAAUAUGAGACUCUCCUUAGUGAUUGCUGCCGCCUUGUUAUAAUCUCAUCAAGUAAACAUUCUGGGUGCAAUAUAUGUCUUGUUAUAAUCUCAUCAAAGAUGCUCUUAAGUACUCUCUCUUUUGCGUUAAGGCUUCUACCAAAAUAUGUGAAUGAUUCUCCUUUAUAUAAUGCUAGGUAAAUCACGUGUAAUAAAGAGCCCAAUCUUCUCAAAUCAUCGUCAUUUAAGCCUUUAAAUAUAUAAGGAACUCUUCAUAAUAAUAGAAGAAUAUUAUCUUCAAUAUCUCUUUAUAAUGUUGAUAAAUCGCUUCAAUUACAUUUUGAUCUUCAAUAACCACACCAACAUUAUUAUGAUAUCCCUAGGACAUUGUUUGCUUGAUCUUGAAUAAUAACUUUCAUGGAGGGAUUGAUUUAUCUUCAUUUACUCUGAUCUUAUGGUCCCCACGUGAAGUAAAACGUAUUCUAUUUCUUAUAUAGUUCACGCCAAUUUCAUCACAUAAACUUGCCGUGUAUGUUCUGCUCAUGUUAAAAUAUCUCUCUACAAAUCUAUGUGGACCCCAUAUACAUAUACUAUGUAAACCCCUAAUUUUGUCUGUACCUGCUGCCAUUCUAGGGCAAAGUUGUAGCACUUGACAUAAUAUAGCUACAUGAGUACUACAAUAUUAAAAAAGAGUCGAUGAUAUAUCCAACGAGGAUGCUCACAUACAAAUAUAUAAUAUGGUGUUGUUAUAGAAAUACCAACAUCCAUUCCUAAACAUCCAUUCCUAAACCUUCUCUCUUAUUUAUUCACUAAUUCUAGAGACAUUCAAUUUGGACAUUAACCAUCCGCACAUUGCUUAGUUCAGUUUGAUUUCAUUAAUUAUUUGAACGGAAACUUAAUUGAUUAAACAUUAUUAUCAAGCAUUUCGUAUCUCUGACGCAUUUGGUUUCUGAAACUCAAUGGAUAUCCAUCUGACGAAGCAGAAACAUUAAAAGGAAAAAGCUUUUAAAAUGAUAAUG